CGCGAACUGCGCGAGGAGGGCGGUUUAAUGGUCGCCAAGUGAGGGAGCGAGAGGGCGGUGGCGGCAAAGUUUACCGGUCACCUCACAACCCGGAAUUUGUCAGACUGAGAACUGCAUGUCAGAGGGUGAGAGCACAUCUGGUGAAAAGCAACAGGGGAACAUUGAGCAACAGAUGUAAGUCCGAGGAACCUAUCAGACUGAGUACAGUCUAGGGAGAGAGAACAUCUGGUGAAAUGUCACGGGAACAUUGAGCAACAUGGAAUCUGGUGCGAAAGCAAUCUGGUGCAAAAACAAACUGCUGCAGGAACUCAGUGGGUCAGGCAGCAUCUAUGGAGGGAACUGGACAGUGGACAUUUUGGGUCGAGACUCUUCGCCUGGACAUGAGGCAACAGGUGCAGGUGAGGCUGAGGUGAGAGAGGAAUGUGGGACUGGGCAAGGUGUACAUUUCCUCUGGUCUUCCUCCCCACUGAGAUACCACUGCUGCCCAUGCUAGUCCCCUUUAUCCUCAAUGUAAAUCAUCCAGCCCAGGCUGCCAACUCCCUUUGUUCUAGAGUUAUCUCCCAAGAACCUUCGACCUCUUAACAUGCAAUAUAGGAGCAGGUGUAGGCCAUCCAGCCCCUCAAGCCUGCCUUGCCUGUCAAUACCAUCAUGGUGAAUCUGCCUCAGCUGUCAACUCCUCUCCUGUACCAGCUCCACAUAGCUCUCAAUUCCCCAAUCUUUCGAAAAAUUGAUCUUCCUGUUUAAAUACUGCCAAUAAUCUCACCUCCAUAACCUGCCAGGUUAGAGUGUUCCAGAUGUUCACCAUCCUCUGUGGAAAUAACUUCCAGUGUA